AUGUGUUUACAUCCAAAAUGCUUCUACUUCACCUCUGCUGCCUGCCAGGCCAAGAUUGUGGAGAAGAAUGGGGCCGUCCCAGAGCAGAAACCUCUUUCGCAGAAUGAUCACAAGCAUAAGAAGAGAGGCCUAGUGGCCCUAGAGGCAGAAGAUGCAGGAAGAGCCUCUUCUCCCAACUUCCAUAAAACAGACCACCACCAUCAGUGGACAGGCCACCAGCAACUGUGUUUCUAUAAUUCGCCCCUCUACUUUGCAGCAGGCACCCGGCUCACUGUGACAGAGGAUCUGAAAACGGUGACUCCACCCAAGGUCUCCUUGUUUGAGCCAUCAGAAGCAGAGAUCGCAGACAAACAAAAGGCUACCCUCGUGUGCUUGGCCAGGGGCUUCUUCCCUGACCAUGUGGAGCUGAGCUGGUGGGUGAAUGGGAAGGAGAUCCGCAAUGGGGUCAGCACAGACCCUCAGGCCUACAAGGAAAGCAACAACAUCACCUACUGCCUGAGUAGCCGCCUGAGGGUUUCUGCUACCUUCUGGCACAAUCCUCGCAACCACUUCCGCUGCCAAGUGCAGUUCUAUGGGCUUACAGAAGAAGACAACUGGCCAGAGGACUCACCCAAACCUGUCACACAGAACAUCAGUGCAGAGGCCUGGGGCCGAGCAGAUUGUGGGAUUACCUCAGCAUCCUAUCAACAAGGGGUCUUGUCUGCCACCAUCCUUUAUGAGAUCCUGAUAGGAAAAGCCACCCUGUAUGCUGUGCUUGUCAGUACGCUGGUAGUGAUGGCUAUGGUGAAAAGAAAGAGUUCCUGAAGCCAGACCUGAAGGUGAAUCCAAGAGCUCACAACCCAUUGCGGUGUUGAUACAGAUUUUCUUCUAUGGGUGCUUCUGAAGAGCCUAUUCUCCUUUGUGAAUCCCAAAGUCUGCCUACUAGUCAUGUACAUUUGCGUUUGUAUGUUUGAAAUCCUUGUGGCCUGGAGAGUGCCUAGCACACUUACAAUUAGUAACCAUAACCAAUAAAACAUGUUCUAGAAUGGCCUGACU